GGGUUUGGCACGACAAUCGAUCCCGAGUGGAGAGGUGGUACCUUCGUACGGUUGUCGUCCCGGAAUACGCGGAACGGUGCCAGGCGACGUGCCGUCCUGAGCCUUCCGAGACGGGACGUACCGACGGGUGCCUCGGCAUGGCUUCUGUCUUGGUGUGUGAAAGUCCUCCCUCAAGCUGAUGUGGCAAGGAUGCGAGUGGUGAUAUGGCUGGAGUCGAAAAUAUGCCUUAUCAUAUUCCGCUAUGAAUCCUGCGUAUCCAGAGAAACUUCAUCGAAGCCAUGGAAUCAGGAGUCUAAGGAAUACCACGAGAUCCGGUAUGGAUGCCUUCUUUCAAGUAUAGUCAGC
rnacentral:lncRNA from 1 species